rnacentral:rRNA from 1 species
GCGUGAGUGAUGAAGGCCUUAGGGUUGUAAAGCUCUUUUACCCGGGAUGAUAAUGACAGUACCGGGAGAAUAAGCCCCGGCUAACUCCGUGCCAGCAGCCGCGGUAAUACGGAGGGGGCUAGCGUUGUUCGGAAUUACUGGGCGUAAAGCGCACGUAGGCGGCCAUUCAAGUCAGAGGUGAAAGCCUGGGGCUCAACCCCAGAAUUGCCUUUGAGACUGAGUGGCUAGUAGGUGAGAGAGGUGAGUGGAAUUCCGAGUGUAGAGGUGAAAUUCGU